GGCAGCAGUGGGGAAUCUUCGGCAAUGGACGAAAGUCUGACCGAGCAACGCCGCGUGAGUGAAGAAGGUUUUCGGAUCGUAAAACUCUGUUGUUAGAGAAGAACAAGGAUGAGAGUAAAAUGUUCAUCCCUUGACGGUAUCUAACCAGAAAGCCACGGCUAACUACGUGCCAGCAGCCGCGGUAAUACGUAGGUGGCAAGCGUUGUCCGGAUUUAUUGGGCGUAAAGCGAGCGCAGGCGGUUUCUUAAGUCUGAUGUGAAAGCCCCCGGCUCAACCGGGGAGGGUCAUUGGAAACUGGGAAACUUGAGUGCAGAAGAGGAGAGUGGAAUUCCAUGUGUAGCGGUGAAAUGCGUAGAUAUAUGGAGGAACACCAGUGGCGAAGGCGGCUCUCUGGUCUGUAACUGACGCUGAGGCUCGAAAGCGUGGGGAGCAAACAGGAUUAGAUACCCUGGUAGUCCACGCCGUAAACGAUGAGUGCUAAGUGU
rnacentral:rRNA from 1 species